CGAAAGGGGGUGGGGAGGGAGCUUGCUCUGCUGGAUAGGGCGAACGGGGGAGUAACACGUGAGCAACCUGCCCCGGACUCUGGGAUAACAGCUGGAAACAGCUGCUAAUACCGGAUACGAGCUGCGAAGGCAUCUUCAGUAGCUGGAAAGAAUUUCGGUCCGGGAUGGGCUCACGGCCUAUCAGCUAGUUGGUGAGGUAACGGCUCACCAAGGCGUCGACGGGUAGCCGGCCUGAGAGGGUGACCGGCCACACUGGGACUGAGACACGGCCCAGACUCCUACGGGAGGCAGCAGUGGGGAAUAUUGCACAAUGGGCGCAAGCCUGAUGCAGCAACGCCGCGUGAGGGACGACGGCCUUCGGGUUGUAAACCUCUUUUAGCAGGGAAGAAGCGAAAGUGACGGUACCUGCAGAAAAAGCGCCGGCUAACUACGUGCCAGCAGCCGCGGUAAUACGUAGGGCGCAAGCGUUAUCCGGAAUUAUUGGGCGUAAAGAGCUCGUAGGCGGUCUGUCGCGUCUGCUGUGAAAACCCCAAGCUCACCUCGGGCCUGCAUGGGAGAGGGCAAAACAAGGUGCGGUAGGGGAGAUUGAAUUCCUUGUG
rnacentral:rRNA from 1 species